UAAACGGCUGGCAACCUGCUGGUGCGCCUGCUCUUUGUCGGACUGCUCCAAGGCGGCUGUUCUUAGCUGCAGAACAGCUUGAGGAAGUUGAGGUUGCUUUUCCAGCUUUUAGGAAAUUGAGGCUGCUAGAGAUCUGGCGGCUGGUCUACUUGGACAACCAGAGGAAGGACUCAGCGAAUAUGAGUCUUUAAUGCCCGUAUCAAACACCUAUAAAUCUCCCUUUUAACUAAGAGGAAGUUCUCCAGACUCAACAGAGACUGAUCAAAAAGUGAAGACUAACUCCAAGAUCUGGAGUAAUACUAGAGAGACCAUGGAAAGGAUAUACCGACUGCCCAGCCCAAGGAAUGAAUUAAUCUCACACUAAGACUUAGCAUUGUGAACAAUCAAAACUCCAGUGCUUCAGAGAAGAUUACAAAGUUUCAAAAAGAGAAAAAUCAGAGUAGCAUUAGAUGUCUCAUCAGCAACUCAACUUCAGCAGCUAGAAAGGUCAAAGUUCAGAGGGCAAAUAAGUUUCAGGAAUCGAUUCCAAGAAUAUGAUAAAAACACGAACACGGGCAUUGCAGCAUUAUUUGCAACAGCAAAGAUCGAAAACAACUCAAACAUCCACCAACUGGGAACUGGAAGAAUAAGUUGUACUGUACCCA